CCUUAAUCUGGGUGGGCACCAUCUAAUCAGCUGCCAGCGAGACCAGAAUAAAAGCAGGCAGAAGAAUGUGGAAAGACUAGACUGACUUAGCCUCCUGGCCUACAUCUUUCUCCUGUGCUGGAUGUUUCCUGCCCUCAAACAUCGGACCCAAAGUUCUUCAGCUUUGGGACCCUUGGACCUUUGGCCACAGACUUAAGUCUGCAGUCGGCUCCCCUACUUUUGAGGUUUUGGGACUCAAACUGGCUUCCUUACUCCUCAACUUGCAGAUGGCCUAUUGUGGGACCUCGCCUUGUGAUCGUGAGGCAUAUGCGCAACCCUGUUUGAAGACCUUCCUUCCCUCACCCAGCAGUAAACACCAUCUGGGCCACCUGCUGUAUCUGCUGGGGUGCAUGGCUUUUCUAG
rnacentral:lncRNA from 1 species